UACGUAGGGUGCGAGCGUUGUCCGGAAUUAUUGGGCGUAAAGAGCUCGUAGGCGGUGUGUCACGUCGGCCGUGAAAACCUGGGGCUUAACUCUGGGCGUGCGGUCGAUACGGGCAUCACUAGAGUUCGGCAGGGGAGACUGGAAUUCCUGGUGUAGCGGUGAAAUGCGCAGAUAUCAGGAGGAACACCGGUGGCGAAGGCGGGUCUCUGGGCCGAUACUGACGCUGAGAAGCGAAAGCAUGGGGAGCGAACAGG
rnacentral:rRNA from 1 species